GCGCCCGUAGCUCAGCUGGAUAGAGCGCUGCCCUCCGAAGGCAGAGGCCAGGGGUUCGAAUCCCUUCGGGCGCG
rnacentral:tRNA from 1 species